rnacentral:rRNA from 1 species
ACCCGCUGAACUUAAGCAUAUCAAUAAGCGGAGGAAAAGAAACUAACAAGGAUUCCCUUAGUAACGGCGAGUGAAGCGGGAAUAGCUCAAAUUUGAAAUCAGUUAAUUUUAUUAAUUGAGUUGUAGUUUAUAGAAUUGUUUUCAUGAAAUACCACUAAGGUCAAGUCCUUUGGGAUAAGGCGUCAUAGAAGGUGAGAACCCUGUAUGCGCUUUAGUGUGUUUAUUUUUAAUGUGUAACACUUUCUAAGAGUCAGGUUGUUUGGGAAUGCAGCCUAAAAUUGGUGGUAAAUACCAUCUAAAGCUAAAUAUUGGCGAGAGACCGUUAGCGAACAAGUACCGUGAGGGAAAGAUGAAAAGAACUUUGAAAAGAGAGUUAAAAGUACGUGAAAUUGUCAAAAGGGAAACACUUGAAACCAGUAUUUUGGAGAAUAAAAUCCCAACUAAAUUUAUAAUUUAGCAUAUGUUUUUAUUUUUUUCCAGGUCAACAUCAAUUUUUAUUUGAGAUAAAAAAUUUAAGGAAUGUAGCCUUGCUUUUUAUUAAGUGGGGUGUUAUAGCCUUAAAAAUAUAUCUUGAAAAAGAUUGAGGACUGCAGUUUAGUUGCUAUUGGUAGCUUAAUUAAAUAAUUUAUUACAUUAAGUAUAAAAUUUAAUUUUUUAUUUAAUAGUAUGAGAUUAUCUUAGUUAAGUUUACACAACUUUUAAACUUAGGAUGUUGACAAAAUGGUUUUAAAUGACCCGUCUUGAAACACGG